rnacentral:tRNA from 1 species
GGGAAAGUGGCUGAGCGGUUAAAAGCGACAGACUGUAAAUCUGUUGAAUACAUUUCUACGUAGGUUCGAAUCCUGCCUUUCCCA